CUCUCUGAGUGGUGGUGGCAGCGCGCAGACCCGGAAGUGGGGCCGCCGUACGGGCUGGAGCUGCCGGGGCCUGCGGGUGGGCGGCCCCCUGGAUUCAUGGAUUCCCUGCUCUUCCUCUCUGCCCGCCGGCUCGUCGCCCACCGCCCCCUUCCCACUGUUCCCGCCCAGCUCUAUCCCAUCCUCUUCCAAGCUGCGUUCCUGGAUGGGAGACCUCUAGUCCUGCAGGAUUUGGUGGCGCAGUGGCCAUUCCCAGUCCUCAACUUCCAGGGGAUCGUGGGGCACCGGGAGCUGCUCCGGGAUCAUCCCUCCAAGCUCUGCAUCCAGUCCGUCAUCCUGGCCGUGGUGGACCAGCUCCGGCAGGAUCUGGAGGAAGCAGGCCAUGAUUCCAGCCGGUGCCGUCUCCGUGUGCUGGAUGUGACAGGACUCCGGGAUGAUGCCGCUGGCCGUGCUCCGGAAGGGAUGAGUGUCUGGUCUGGCACCGUGGCCCUGGCCAAGGCUUGUGUGGAGGUCUCCAAACACCAGCGGGAACUCCAGAAAUGCAGAUCCAGGAGCCAUAAGGGCCGUUCCGGCACCACGGCAGCUCCACGAUUCAUCGACAUCCACGCCGAUCUCUUCGUCAAUGGAACAUCCUAUGGAAUCCUGUGGGAUGCACUCCAGGCCGGGAACACCAGCCCACUGCGCCUCAAGUGCCGGGAGUUCCAAGCUGAGGAGCUCUGCCUGGCUGGAAUUGUGAGUCUGCUGAAAUCCUUGGAUCCCUCUGGCGUAAGGAGGGUGGACCUUCGCUUCAACAACCUUGGACUGGGGGGUCUCUCCUUGGUUUUGCCACAUCUCUCCCGAUUCCUGGGUCUCCGAAGCCUCCGACUUCCCUACAGCAAUGUCGACGUGCGGCGGCCAACGCCGGAGUCGGUGCUGGGAAUCCGGUGUCUGGCCAGGGAGCUGGGAAAGCUGCAGAGCCUCAGGGAGCUCAACCUGGGAUCCUCCAGGCUCUCCGGGAAUUUGAGGCACAUUCUCUGCAAACUCGAGGCUCCAUUGGAAAGCUUGGAACUGGCCUUCUGCUCCCUCCUUCCCGCUGACUUCGCCUUCCUCUCCCAAAGCUUCCAUGCUCCGGCCCUGAAAAGGCUGGAUCUGAGCGGCCAUGAUUUCUCCCAAACUCUUCUCCAACCCCUUCAGCAUCUCCUGGAGGAAACCUCGGCUUCCCUGCUCCACCUGGACCUCAUGGAAUGCCGGCUGACAGACUCACACCUGGAUGCCCUGCUGGUGUCACUCCGGCACUGCUCCUGCCUCCGCUCCCUCGGACUCUUUGGGAAUUCCUUCUCCACAGCAGGGCUCAAGGAUUUAUUAUGGAAAACUGUGGUCCUGCCAGAUCUCCGCUUGGUCGUGUAUCCUAUCCCUGUGGAUUGCUACAAGUCAGGGCUGGAUCCUGGCUGGAUUUUGGAGGAGCAGCUGGACAGGGAAUGUUUGGGAGCAGUGAGCGCUGAGCUGGGCCGGAUGCUGGAGAGCUUCGGAAGAGCCGACAUCGUCUGGACUUCCAACCCCUAUGGACACGAAGCCCUGGAUUACUUCUGCUUGUAGCUGGAGAAGAGCUUGGAGCCUUCAGCCUGGAGAAGUGCUGUGGCCUCAGUGCCUCCUUCCUCAAAGAAUUUGUUUUGACCUCAUUUUGGUGUUUUUCCUGUUAUCCCAGUGGUUUUUUGCCUCAUCCCGAUGGUUUUCCACCUCAUCCCAGUGUUUUCCAGUAACUUUUGUUACCACCUUGUCACCAGCCAUAGCUGGGACAGACCUGAUGUCACUGGAAAACCCCCCGAACUCUGCUGAUUAACACUGGAUAUUAAUUAAUUAAUUAAUAAUUAAUAAAUCAGCAUCACUUGGCUGGUGAUGAAAUUCCUGCCAAAUCCCCCCUAAAUCCCACUCUCCUGUAUCCUGAAUCCCAGCACUUCACAGUGAGGAAUCAGCAUGGUGAGUUCUGUUUUUUUGGGGGAGUUUCAUGGAAAUAAAGGGAUCCCAGUUGCCAUGGAAACACCCAUCCCAGUGCCAGGAUGGGCUUCCCUCCAAUUUAGGGAUGUUGGGGGGUUCCCUGGUGCCAGGGGUCUCUGAUUCCACCAUAUCCCGUUGCCAUGGGAGUUAUGGGAAUGGUUGGGGGGGGUCUCAAACUCCACCAUAUCCUGCUGCCCUGGGAGUGACUGGGAUGGUUGGGGGUCAAGCCACCUGUUUUUCAGGAAUACCAGCCCAGGGACCCCCCAAGCACCCCUGAACCAACCAGAGACCCUUCCAGCCCCCCGAAGCAGCCCAGGGACCCCUCCAGUCCCCCUAAACAAGCCCAAGAACCCCUCUAGCCCCCCAUCCCAGGGAGCCCCAGCCCUUCUAAACCAGCCCAGGGAAUCCCUGCCAAGGACCCCCCAGAAAACCCCUAAACCAGCCCAGAGACCCCCUCAAACCCCCCCAAAACCAGCUCCCCAUCCUAAAGGACUCAGCCAGCCCCUUCUAAAACCAGCUCAGGGACCCCCCCCAAACCACCCUCAGAUCGCGUGUGUCUGUCACACCCAUGUGGGAUCCAGGUUUGUGUCUGUCACACCAAGAUGUUUGUCCAGGUGUGUGUCUGUCACACCCGUGUACCACCCAGGUG